UACGAAGGGGGCUAGCGUUGUUCGGAAUUACUGGGCGUAAAGGGCGCGUAGGCGGCGUGUCAAGUCAGGCGUGAAAGCCCCGGGCUCAACCUGGGAACCGCGCUUGAGACUGGCAUGCUCGAGUUCGGGAGAGGAUGGUGGAAUUCCCAGUGUAGAGGUGAAAUUCGUAGAUAUUGGGAAGAACACCGAUGGCGAAGGCAGCCAUCUGGACCGACACUGACGCUGAGGCGGCGAAA
rnacentral:rRNA from 1 species